AUUUUAUAAUGAUUUUUAUUUUUUCCAUUGUAGCUGGUUUACAGUGUUCUGUCACUUUUCUACUGUAUAGCAAGGUGACCCAGUCACAUUAUCAUGCUCAUAUUAUCAUGCUCUGUCAUAAGUGACUAGAUACACAUCAUUAUUUCUUAAUUGCUCCUUCCUUGUUUCUGCAUUCCCUCCCUUAAGACCAUUAAUUAUUGGAGUUCCCUUGUGGUGCAGUGGGUGAAGGAUCCAGUGUUGUCACUGCAGUGGCCUGGAUCAUAGCUGUGGUGUGCGUUUGACCCCUAGCCCAGGAAUUUCCACAUACUGUGGGUGUGGCAAAAAAUUAAAAAAAAAUAGCUUAGGCUAAGAUGGGUUCUCUUAUAUCAAGAAAGCAAUGCCUGGUUCUUUCUCUGGGGACUCCCUACCCUGCUGCUUACACUGAUAUGAAUAAUAUUCUUCACAGUGAUGAAGAAUGACCUGCCAUUAUCCCCAUUUUAUGAAUUAAGAAAAUGAGGAACAGAGAGGUUGAAGUGGCUCACUCAAGGCCAUGUAGGUUCCUUCAUGGUGUAUGGAUGAACAGUAGGGAUCCUGAGACAGACAGCUAGCUGCCAUGUUACCUUUGUUCUUUUUCAAAAUAUUGUGAUGGUGGUGUAGACUAGUAACUAUAGUUUAUUGAUUAUCUACUAGGCACUGUGUUGCGUGCUUUGAGUUCUUGGGCUUGAAGCAGGACGUUUAACUUCCUCUCCAUGAUAACCCUCUAAGUAGAUAAGAUCAUCAGAUUUGUCCACGUGGGAAUCUGAGGCUCGAGGGGUUAUCUGAGCUGCUAAUGGCAACAGGACUCUGAGUUGCUCCAAAGAGCAUGCUCUUUACAAUGAUGCCUUAUGGAUCCUCCAUUUUCACAGUCGUGAUCAGAUAUUCUUUCUUUCUUUUUUUAUAAUGAUUUUGAUUUUUUCUAUUAUAGUUGUUUUACAGUGUUCUGUCAAUUUUCUACUGUACAGCAAAGUGACCCAGCCACACAUAUAUAUACAUACACUCUUUCUCUCACACCAUCCUCUACCAUGCUCCAUCUCAAAUGAUUAGAUAUAGUUCCCAGUGCUAUGCAGCAGAAUCUUAUUGCCUACAAACAUUCGGUCUUAUUCCUUUGCUCUCACCUUGUCAGCCACUGGACCUCAAGCCAUUUCCAGAGGUGGAGGGGCAGGGGUGCACAGGCGUGUCAUACUCCGUUUUUUCCCUUUCUCCUUAAGUCCUAAGAUGGUCCUACUCUACUCCCACUUCCAGACACUUUUUUGCUUUCUGAGGUUAUGAAAUUCUCUCCAACAACAUGUAAACACUCAAUACAGGGUCUUUGUCUUCUAAGGCAUCCCAUAAGUGUGCUGAUGUUGAGAAAGCUGAUUGGGAGGCCAGCUUUAGGUAAAAGAAAGAAAACAAAUGGAGUACCUUAAAACCCAAACAGGGAAACUCAGACUUGAUGGGAUGGACAGUGGGAAGCCUCAGAAAAUCCUUAGAGUUCCAUGGUGGUCUAGCAAGUUAAGGAUCCAACAUUGUCACUGCCGUAGUGCAGGCUUGAUCCCUGGCCAGGGAACUUCCACAUGCCAUGGGCACAGCCAAAAAAAAGAAAGAUCCUUGACUAAACCCAGGUAACCUUGUUUGUAAAGGCUUUGAUCUCCAGGCACUUCACUUGGUCCAAACUUGGAGUCAUCUGAUUGACCCAAUAACCCCCUAUUUUUCACCAUGGAUUAAGAUUCCUUAGAGUCUAGGAGGAUUGGGAAAGGCUUCCUCUUUUAGAUCAGUCUCUUUAUUGGGAGCUUGAGGCUGACUGCAGAACCCAUGCCUGGAGUACCUUUCAGCAUCUGGCUACUGCCCUAGCUCUCUCUCAUUCUCUUUCCUGCUUUCUAUGCUGCGCCUCCACUCAGGCUGCACACUUUCAGUUCCUUAUGAGCUAGGUUCCAUUUUGCCCCUGGGCCAUUUCCUGGAACAGUUUUUGCCCCUUCUUGUCCAAUUCUUCUUCUUCCCUAAGGCGUGACUGAGCUGCCACUUCCUUAAGGAAGCCUCCCUUGUCCCUCUAAGGCAGGUUGGGCACCAGUACUGUGGCUCCCCGCACCAUCCUGCCAUCUCCUGGUCAUUUCUGCUGGCUCUGUGAUGGUUUGAUAGCCUGCUUGUUCCCUGGACUCUGAGCUCCUAAUGGGAAAGGGCCGUUUCUCUGCGGUUCUCCAGGCCUGGCACACAGCAGCUGUCCAGAAAGUGCUGGCACAUCAUGGAUAACGAAGGAACAGUGCCAUGGGCCAACUGUCCCCAUCUGUUGCACCAACUGACUGGCUGGUGGCUCUUGGCUUCUUGAAUCUCCUUGUUAUCCCAACAGGAAAACCUUUGCUCCCAACCCAGGGGCAGAGGAACGCUUUCCUUCCCAAGAACGUUCUUUCUGGAUCCCUCACCUCCUGCUCUUCCAGGUACUGGCUCUUUCCAAGAGCCCCGUCACCCAACCCUGCCAGCAGUGCCCCUCACAGACUUUUUUCUUCAGACCAGUAAGUCAAUACUUUAGUUGGCCAUGUCACUUCCUAAAGCUACCAUGUCACUCUGACAAAGACUCUCUGACCAAACUUAUGUUAGGCUCCUCUGAGCCCUCCCCUUGUCUAAUCCUUGACCCUGGGCUCUGUCUUGACCUGCUCAGUCCAGUCUUAGCAAGAAUCCCACUGAAUCAGUUUAG
rnacentral:lncRNA from 1 species